rnacentral:rRNA from 1 species
GCGAACGGGUGAGUAACGCGUGAGGAACCUGCCUCAAAGAGGGGGACAACAGUUGGAAACGACUGCUAAUACCGCAUAAGCCCACGGCUCGGCAUCGAGCAGAGGGAAAAGGAGUAAUCCGCUUUGAGAUGGCCUCGCGUCCGAUUAGCUAGUUGGUGAGGUAAUGGCCCACCAAGGCGACGAUCGGUAGCCGGACUGAGAGGUUGAACGGCCACAUUGGGACUGAGACACGGCCCAGACUCCUACGGGAGGCAGCAGUGGGGAAUAUUGCACAAUGGGGGAAACCCUGAUGCAGCGACGCCGCGUGGAGGAAGAAGGUCUUCGGAUUGUAAACUCCUGUUGUUGGGGAAGAUAAUGACGGUACCCAACAAGGAAGUGACGGCUAACUACGUGCCAGCAGCCGCGGUAAAACGUAGGUCACAAGCGUUGUCCGGAAUUACUGGGUGUAAAGGGAGCGCAGGCGGGAAGACAAGUUGGAAGUGAAAUCUAUGGGCUCAACCCAUAAACUGCUUUCAAAACUGUUUUUCUUGAGUAGUGCAGAGGUAGGCGGAAUUCCCGGUGUAGCGGUGGAAUGCGUAGAUAUCGGGAGGAACACCAGUGGCGAAGGCGGCCUACUGGGCACCAACUGACGCUGAGGC